rnacentral:misc_RNA from 1 species
UAAGCGAUUACUCUUGUUCCGUGCUCAAGUAACUUCCGAUAUAUAGCAACUUGUUACUAUUAGCUGUUUAUUGUUGUUGUCGUAGUGCUGAGAAUAGGUCGAUUGAUAUGGCGCUCUGUCGCCACAGUGACUCACAUAAACCAAUGGAGUUCAAAGAAAACGACCAAGCUGCUAAGGUUCUAGAAAAAUUACGCCAAUAUAGAAACGAUGACAAAUAUUGUGAUAUGGUGCUGCAAGUUGAAGGGAAAGAAUUUAAGGCGCACAGGAAUGUUCUGGCCGCCUGUAGCCCCUACUUCGACACAAUGUGCAAUAGUGGUUGGGAAGAGGACAGGCGGAGGGCUGCCGUUAUCGAAGGCACCACGGCCGACGCCAUGGAACACAUUUUGAACUAUAUGUAUACUGGAAGUAUAUCUUUAAAUUCAGACAAUGUCCAUUGUAUAUUAGAAGGUGCUGACCAUUUUCUCAUGACAAAUCUUAAACAGCAUUGUCUGCAUUUUUUGGACCGCCAUUUGAAUUCUUCGAACUGUUUAGUGGUCAAAGGUCUGUCCUACUUGUAUGGAUUUGAACAAUUGCUUGAAAAGUCCAGUAAGUUCAUUAGGAACAAUUUUAAACAAGUCGUAACCGAUUCAGUUGAUGAUUUAGUUCGGCUGCAGUUUGAACAGAUAUUAGAAUUAGUAUCUGAUGAGAAAGUCCGAGUAAAAAUGGAAGAAACAAUUUAUAACACCAUUUUAAAAUGGGUUAAACAUGACAGCAACUCCAGAAAGCAAUAUUUUGCACCACUUCUGAAACAUGUGCGGCUUGCUCAGUUGAAUCGGACUUUUCUCAUAAAGAAUGUCGAAAAAGAGGAGUUGGUUCUUGCGAGUCAGGACUGUAGAGAUUUGGUUGCUGAUGCAAAGAGGCAAACAGAUACUACACGCACAAGUUAUUGCGGGGACAGUCCUGUGCUGAAACCUCGCAAAGGAAAAUUAACAGAUGUUGUCGUGAUCACAGGUGGUGUUUCCGAUCUGGGUCCAUCUCAUUACUGUUAUGUGUACAUUUUACACGAGAAUAGGUGGACUCAUCUGCCGGACUUGCCAAUUAACGAAUUGCGUUUUCAUGCAAGCGCUGUUCUUGAUGGAAAAAUGUACAUUGCUGGUGGAACAAGCAGUGGGCUUAUAUCCAGUAGAGUGCAUUGUUACGAUACAAACACAAACUGUUGGUAUAAUGUGGAAAGUUUGCAGACGCCUCGGGAGUAUUUAUCGCUAGUGGCGUGUAAUGGACGUCUGUAUGCAAUGGGUGGGAUCAAGUGGGAUAGGGUGUUACAAACUGUUGAAUGCUUUGAUCCAGAAAUGGAGGAAUGGAAAAGCGCAACACCAAUGACCAAAGGUCGCUAUGGCAUGCAUAUGGCCGUGUUAGAUGACCGUUACAUUUAUGCAAUUGGGGGUAGGGAUGAACACCGUAGACCCGUUCCGUCAGUUGAACGUUACGACACAGAGACGGACACAUGGUUCCAGCUACCAUCUAUACCCCUAGAUAGAGACAAUUUCUGGGAUUUUCCAGUCGUUGAAGCCCAUAAAGGCAAGAUAUAUGUCACCGAUCUAUCAACGAAAGAAUUGUGUCUAAAUCCGGAACGAAACACAUGGACAGAGCAAAGUUCAUUCCAUUAUGGAAAAUUACCGGAAAGGAAGUGCUUCCAGUACUGUGCAUGGAACCGGAACGUGCUGGUCUUUGGUGGGUCGGGAAGUGAACGGACUAUUAGCUCAACCGUCCCAGAAGCGUGUAUUUAUGACCGCGUUCAUGGACUAUGGAGUAGCAUUCGACCUCCACCAGCAUCGACAUUGGGCUCAUCUUGUGUCAUACUCCAAGUUCCAUACGAAUUUCUUGGUGACUAGAUGGGGUGCUGACAAUAUUUUAAUUGAAAGGACAUCUAAAUGGAGAAAAGACAAUUGUUGGUAUAAUGUAUCUGGUCCAACCAUCAGAUAGAGGGCAGUACGUAAGCAGAACAGAACGUACAGAAGAAUGCUUUGAAGAUACCUGCAAAGACCUGUGCAAUUUAUUUAUACUCGCGCCCUAGAAUGUUGUGUCAAAAAAUAGAGAAGUGGGGUUAAUAUUUUAUUAUUAAAAAUUUUACUUGAUUAAUGCUUUUUCUUUUUAAACUUGACAAGUUUUUAUUGUGUGUGAAUUAUACAACCAUUGUGGUACACCUGGAAUGAGUGUGUUUUUUUAUAUGCAGGGUUUACUUUUUUUAAUUUUAUUCAUUUUAUUAUUAUCCGUUUGUUCAUAUAAUGAGCAUAAGAAAUUUAGCUAAACAUUUUUUUUAUAGACAUUCCCAUAAAAAUAUGUGUCCAAUAUACCCACAAUAUUCUAAUUAUGAAAUAUAAUAUAAUACAGUAUAAAUGGCUAACAAAAUUAAUGGUUGAUGUAAAAUUCAUCAGCAGAUACAUUGGUGGGGGAGGUGGGAAGGGGUGCUUCCUCUCCUUUCUGGCACAGCAGCAAAAAAAAAAAAAAAAUAUCUAACCAAGUGUGUGAAAUCAUUUGCACAAGAUACUAAAAUGGUUAACACAACAUUGCAACAAUGUUUGCAACAUUAUUUAGUCAGAAAUUACAUUAUAAAUAAGUUACUUUUUUAAAAAACCCACCUUUUUUUUAUACCAAAAUGCAACAUUGUUAUAAUAACGUAACGUGGGACAAUCGUUUAUAUAGGAACUCAAUUUCAGGUUUCACGUGCAAACCCCAUCUGGUUUUCAUUUGGCUAGACAGAAGAAGCUGAUACUGUUCUCAACAACAAUAACGUAUUGUUUCCUCUAUGCUCAUAGACAGCUGCCAUCCAUCUGCAAAACUCAAAUUUUGUACAUGAUGAAAUGGUGUCACUUUUGCUAAAGGGACACACAUCUUUACUUUGCUUCUAACUUCACCUUUGGUCAGAUGUAAAAGUGAAUAAUAGUACACACUAAAAUCUUGUUCUACCAUUCACCUGUAGCUAGGGUAUUGAUUGUGCUCGGAUCAGCUGUUUAUACCAAGGUCUUUUGUGGGCAGAUCGAUAACAGAUUAUACAUUUUCCAGGCUAGCAUGCUUGCGCAAUAUUCCAUUCUAAAUGCUCAGCUUGUGGUCCAUCUGUUUAUAUACUCCCCCUUAUACUAGUCUAGCCUCCUGGUGCUUAUUCAAUCUGGUUGUCUUAUUAAUUUCUUAAUUAAAUUUGAAAUUAAAACACAAUGCAUCCAUUUAAACAUAGGAGUAUAUAAAAGUACUUCUAUUGUCAUGACAUAUAAUAGCAUUAGUAUUUUUUUCUUGAUUGAAACCAAAACAUAUUAAAUACAUAUAUGAAUUUCAUGUAUGCAAAAGCUUACAAAACAAAAGUUUUUGUAAUGUUUAUGGUAUACUGUACUAUAUCGUAGUUACAAAACAAGCGCGUCCCAUUGUAUUGUAUCCUUUAACAAGCAUAAAAGCGAUAAAACAGUGUUUUGAGUAUCAGGUGAAUGGAUCACUAUGCCUAGUGUGUAUACAAAGAGCUGGUACUGUACUCAAAACAAAGGGGUGAUUGACCUAAUAGCAGUACUUGGCAAAACCUACAAAAAAAUUGAAAGCGCACGUCUUCAAUUGCAAACCAAUGUUAUUAUCUUGUUUACAAUCUGAAAAACAGACCCAUUGUUUGCUGAGCAUGUCUGACAUUUUCAAAUCAAAGGUGGUAUCUAUUAUGUUCAGUCUGCAUUCAUAUUUAAAUUAUAUUGAUGUUUGAAACAGAUAAUUCAAUUAACAUAGGGAAAAUUCCAAUUUUUGCAAAUGUUAGUGUGGGAAAAGGCAGAUUUGUAGCACUAAUGAAGUACUGUAUGGGUAGUGACAAUUUAAGUGAAUAGUCCAAUGAUGCAAAGAUUGAAACAAAUAAUUUGUUUGUAAAUUUUAGGAUAUUUUACAACAAAAAUCUUUAAACAUUACUACUACAUUGCAGCAAUGUUAUUUGUGGUUACAGUAUAAAAAAAAAAUAUUUUGAAUAGCCAACGUAAAGUUGUUAACUGGGUAGGUUAUUGCAAAGAAUGAAUUAUUAUUUGUAUGACAGUUGUUUAAUUCAGUGUGGACAUUUCUCAUUCUAAUUCUCAAUUUAAAACUAAUUUACUUUAAUCUAAAGUUUCAA